rnacentral:rRNA from 1 species
UACGAAGGGUGCAAACGUUGCUCGGAAUCACUGGGCGUAAAGCGCACGUAGGCGGCCCCGUUAGUCGGACGUGAAAUCCCUCAGCUCAACUGGGGACGUGCAUCCGAAACUGCAGGGCUUGAGUACUGAAGAGGAUCGCGGAAUUCCCGGUGUAGAGGUGAAAUUCGUAGAUAUCGGGAGGAACACCAGUGGCGAAGGCGGCGAUCUGGGCAGAUACUGACGCUGAGGUGCGAAAGCGUGGGGAGCAAACAGG